rfam:Ictidomys tridecemlineatus contig003154, whole genome shotgun sequence.
GGAGAUAAAGCUCAAUGGUAGAAUGCUUGCUUACCAUGCAUGAUGCCCUGGGUUCAAUUCUCAGUACCUCAA